UUUAUGGAGAGUUUGAUCCUGGCUCAGGAUGAACGCUGGCGGCGUGCCUAAUACAUGCAAGUCGAGCGAACAGACAAGGAGCUUGCUCCUUUGACGUUAGCGGCGGACGGGUGAGUAACACGUGGGUAACCUACCUAUAAGACUGGGAUAACUUCGGGAAACCGGAGCUAAUACCGGAUAAUAUUUCGAACCGCAUGGUUCGAUAGUGAAAGAUGGUUUUGCUAUCACUUAUAGAUGGACCCGCGCCGUAUUAGUUAGUUGGUAAGGUAACGGCUUACCAAGGCGACGAUACGUAGCCGACCUGAGAGGGUGAUCGGCCACACUGGAACUGAGACACGGUCCAGACUCCUACGGGAGGCAGCAGUAGGGAAUCUUCCGCAAUGGGCGAAAGCCUGACGGAGCAACGCCGCGUGAGUGAUGAAGGUCUUCGGAUCGUAAAACUCUGUUAUUAGGGAAGAACAUACGUGUAAGUAACUAUGCACGUCUUGACGGUACCUAAUCAGAAAGCCACGGCUAACUACGUGCCAGCAGCCGCGGUAAUACGUAGGUGGCAAGCGUUAUCCGGAAUUAUUGGGCGUAAAGCGCGCGUAGGCGGUUUUUUAAGUCUGAUGUGAAAGCCCACGGCUCAACCGUGGAGGGUCAUUGGAAACUGGAAAACUUGAGUGCAGAAGAGGAAAGUGGAAUUCCAUGUGUAGCGGUGAAAUGCGCAGAGAUAUGGAGGAACACCAGUGGCGAAGGCGACUUUCUGGUCUGUAACUGACGCUGAUGUGCGAAAGCGUGGGGAUCAAACAGGAUUAGAUACCCUGGUAGUCCACGCCGUAAACGAUGAGUGCUAAGUGUUAGGGGGUUUCCGCCCCUUAGUGCUGCAGCUAACGCAUUAAGCACUUCGCCUGGGGAGUACGACCGCAAGGUUGAAACUCAAAGGAAUUGACGGGGACCCGCACAAGCGGUGGAGCAUGUGGUUUAAUUCGAAGCAACGCGAAGAACCUUACCAAAUCUUGACAUCCUUUGACAACUCUAGAGAUAGAGCCUUCCCCUUCGGGGGACAAAGUGACAGGUGGUGCAUGGUUGUCGUCAGCUCGUGUCGUGAGAUGUUGGGUUAAGUCCCGCAACGAGCGCAACCCUUAAGCUUAGUUGCCAUCAUUAAGUUGGGCACUCUAAGUUGACUGCCGGUGACAAACCGGAGGAAGGUGGGGAUGACGUCAAAUCAUCAUGCCCCUUAUGAUUUGGGCUACACACGUGCUACAAUGGACAAUACAAAGGGCAGCGAAACCGCGAGGUCAAGCAAAUCCCAUAAAGUUGUUCUCAGUUCGGAUUGUAGUCUGCAACUCGACUACAUGAAGCUGGAAUCGCUAGUAAUCGUAGAUCAGCAUGCUACGGUGAAUACGUUCCCGGGUCUUGUACACACCGCCCGUCACACCACGAGAGUUUGUAACACCCGAAGCCGGUGGAGUAACCAUUUGGAGCUAGCCGUCGAAGGUGGGACAAAUGAUUGGGGUGAAGUCGUAACAAGGUAGCCGUAUCGGAAGGUGCGGCUGGAUCACCUCCUUU
rnacentral:rRNA from 1 species